AACCAUAGAAACCUGCGGAGUACCUGCGGAAGGAUCAUUAAAAAGAGUGUGUACCCCCCUGUAAAAUGGGUGGGUUACCUCCCGUCCUUUGUUGACCUCUUAGGAGGUUAUUUUGAACUUUUCUGCUUCGGUGGGGUUAAACCUACCGGAACACCCUCAAAUUCUGAUCAUUUAAAAAUUGUUCAGUCCGAUUUUUGUUAAUAAAAACAAAAAACUUUCAGCAAUGGAUCUCAGAUCGGA
rnacentral:misc_RNA from 1 species